GUCCCUCCGUUUUAGCUGCCGCCGCGGCGGCCGCCGAGCGCGCUCUUUCCGCCCCCUUCUCGCGCGUGAGCGCGCCCUAUCGGCUCCUGGCGCGUCAACAUUCCGCGGGCCAGGCCUUGGGGCGCGUCUGAGGAGGGGGAUGUCUGUGGCCUCUCCGCCCACACUUCCUCCACCCACCGCCCACAGCGCCCCAGAAGGACCUAUUACUCGUUUGGCUUCUGAAGGCCGAAGCCAGGCUCUGGCGGGGAUAGAACCCUGAAGGGCCUGCGCCAGCUCCAACUUAGGGCCCUUAUCUUUUGCUGCCUCUUACGUAUUGUAGGCAGUGCCUGAUGGCUGAGAAGAAUCGCAGAGGACUAGAAAAGGUUUGAGUCUGAAAUUAUCUGGCACAGAGGAUUAAAGCUCAGAAAUAAGUGAUUGCGAAACAGUUCAACUUCCCUGUUAAUGACAACAACAACAGCAACACGCUUAUUAAUUCCUAGCUGGAGCAUCAAGCUUAUGAAGAUUUCCAAGACUUUAUUGUUGACCCUUGUUGAAGAGAACUCUACUUGGCUUCUUUCCUGGCUUUCCUAAAUUGUUCACAUACAAGAUAAACUACCGUCAUUCAGACUUACAGAAGUGAGAAGACAAGCUGAACCAAAUGUAAAAUGGUAGCAAUUUACAGAUGUCAGAACUAACAUGUGGAUGAACUUAGAGAUGGAGAAGAAAGCUGGGCUUUUCCAAAGAGUGGAUCUAUCUGAACUGGAUAGCACUAUUGAACUUUGUUGCAUAUUUUGUGGUAGCUCUAAAACUCCUCUGCUUGCUUACAUACAACCAGACACCAGUGCCUUCUGAAGCUAAUCCAGGCCAUUUUUAUAACCUAAUGCAGUAGCACUUUGCAAUUAGAUGAAGAAGAUCGGUGGGAUUUCUUUCUGUGGUGAUUAAAAUGUGUCAGGGGAAGAAAUCAAGACAAUACUCCAAGUGAAAAAUAUAAAGUCAGUUAUUUCUUUAA
rnacentral:lncRNA from 1 species